CCCUUUUGACUACUCGGGCGUGGUCCCGAAACCUCGUAUAAAUGACAUUCCUAAGCCCCGUAUCGGAAAACGAUAUUUGGGAUCGCCAAAGUCCAAUAUUUGGUACAUGAAAUUACUCAGACAUACAUAUAUAUGGGAAAAAAAAAAAGUGUUAACUUAGGUUGUGAGAGCAGUUUGAGGCUGGGCUAAGGAAGCUCUGCGAAGAUCAAUUUGGGACUUUCCCAGCAGUCUGGGAACGUUGCAUGAUAUUCUGCAGCUAAAAGACACAAAUAUAUUUCUAAAAA